GUAUUAAUUGCGUGUUAUCGCAAGAGACAUUCUACACUGUAUCGAGUUUGUGUGAAAACGCAAGCCCUCCUGCAAAGGGGGGCCCACGCGGUGAUGCACAAAAGGGGUGAGAUGGAUUGUGUGAGAGUGCUCGGGCGUGCACAACCUUUAAAAGGUCAGCGACAGCCCUUGCACCUCGGUUAUACAAUAAUGAUCCUUCCGCAGGUUCACCUACGGAAA
rnacentral:misc_RNA from 1 species